GAUGAACGUUGGCUACAGGCUUAACACAUGCAAGUCGAGGGGAAACGCCGGGGAAGCUUGCUUCCCCGGGCGUCGACCGGCGCACGGGUGAGUAACGCGUAUCCAACCUGCCUCUGACUGAGGGAUAACCCGUCGAAAGUCGGCCUAAUACCUCAUGGCAUCGUCUGCGGGCAUCCAACGACGAUUAAAGAUUUCAUCGGUCAGGGAUGGGGAUGCGUCUGAUUAGCUUGUUGGCGGGGUAACGGCCCACCAAGGCUACGAUCAGUAGGGGUUCUGAGAGGAAGGUCCCCCACAUUGGAACUGAGACACGGUCCAAACUCCUACGGGAGGCAGCAGUGAGGAAUAUUGGUCAAUGGGCGGGAGCCUGAACCAGCCAAGUAGCGUGCAGGAUGACGGCCCUAUGGGUUGUAAACUGCUUUUAUGCGGGGAUAAAGUGGGGGACGUGUCCUUCAUUGCAGGUACCGCAUGAAUAAGGACCGGCUAAUUCCGUG
rnacentral:rRNA from 1 species